UAUACUGCUUUAAAUAAUUAUAACAUGCCAAAAUAAUUGCUGUGGUAGUGUUGAGGUUUACAUGAACGAAGGACGUUUGUAAAAUUAAAGACUCGAGGAUAUAUAUGAACGCAGAUACAUUAGCAACAUGAAUGAGUUUUGUGUAGCGUUCUUGAUAUUCUGUCUUAAAGUGGAUAUUUCAUACAGCCAGAGGUGGUGGUAUGUUCCGGUUCCUUCGUACGCUAUCAAACCACAGGCCAACACGGGUUAUCAAGUCGCCGGAUGGAGUUCGAGCCACACAACUGAGCCUCCCCUAGGGCCAAACGAUAGAAUGAACACGACGGAUGUUCCAGAGGAGAUAGAAGCCCGUCCUGAUAAAACGCGUGCUCAACGAAGGGAAUUGUUAAAACGAAUGAAUCCCGGAUUUACCAGCCAACAAAUUGAAGCACAACUUAUCCGAGAUGAUAAGGCACGUGCAAAAAAUGGCGGCAACUCAGAGCGAAACCCGUCAUUAUACUACAGGACCACCCAAGCGUCGCUAUGAAACAGACUUCCGUUGAAAAACCAAAACAACACGUGGUACAAAUACAGACAAACGCCGUCUCGAAACAGAUUUCUGUUGAAGAACCAAACCAAAUCUUUGUACAAAAAUCCAAACCAAAGUUAAUACUACCGAAGCAGCAAAAGAGAAAUUUCAACUUGUGGAGUCCACUGUCAGCAAGCGAAUUGAAAUCUUUUGGACAGAUUUUUAUAUCCCAACCUAAUCCACCUAGUUCUAGGACAAGUGCAGGUCCAUCUGGACAACCAAUCAUCAGUGCAACAGCACGUGCUCAGCGGAGACAAUUGUUAAAAAGGAUGAAUCCUGGAUUUACAAAUGCACAAAUAGAAGCACAACUUAUCCGAGAUGAUAAAGCACGUGCAAAAAUGGCGGCAACACAGAGCGAACCAGUGUGAUUCUGCCUGAACCCUGUCACGGCACCCACAAAGACCUCCCCCUGUCAACGGCCCUAAACCGAAGCCAAAAGCCAAGCGAAAGCCCAACCUAAACCAAAACAAAAACAAGCAAAACAAGCGAACAAUAACAAUGUUUGGCAACCAACGUCAGCCGGGAAAUUUGGCUCAAUCGUAAAAAAGGCCAGUACAACGCCAACCAGGUUCAAAACAAAAUCAACAGCGGGCCAAUCCAGCACGAAAUGCUCGUAGACGCCGUCCGAAAACUACAACAACAACAGAACCUCUUCCGACAACGUACCCGCCCACCUACCCGCCCACUACAGAUUAUAUACCAACGACAUACCCUACACCCGCCUACCAUUAUAAUGAUCCAAUAGUAAGUAAUCACCCUAGGAGAGGUGGACCUCCUCCUAGACGGCAACCACCAAUGAGAAGACAGCAAGCACCCAGAAGAAAUACUAGACCGAGACCACGCCCACGACCACGACCACUGGUCGGCUCAGAGAUCGGUCAUAUUUUAUCCAUUGUCGGAUAAAAUGAUUCCUCACGGGCGACGACAGCGGAAUCGUGCAAGAGCCGACGGUGAGGAAUUUCGACCACGUGACCCGUUAUCUAAAUGGAUCUUCAACAAUAUAGAUGGCGAAGUCUUGGAUGCUUUCCUUCCAUUGUUUGCCUUCGGUUAAAAAUAUAAUUAUGUACAUGAUAGCACACAAUAUCGAUACAAUCACGUCUAUGACGUCACAGCACGUGAUGUCCUCGUUCUAUGACGUCACAGUAUGUGAUGUAAUCCUUCAUUUUAGACAGGCGUCAUAUGCGCUUUAAUAUUUCUUUUUCUAAAUUGUAUAAUUUAUGUCAAUUGUUUGCGAUUCUCGUAGUUUUCAUCUAAUUUUUUUUCAGUAAUGAACAUAAAUAUAACAUGGCUGUUACAUACUUGAAGAUUUCAUUCGGAAAUGUUUUGCCAGCUAUGUUGGCCUCAGAAUAGAUCUACAUUUAGAUCUACCUCGUGAUUAAUUUAAAAAAUGAACACGUAGAUCUAAUAUAUAAUAUUUCAAGUUUACCUUUUUAAGAUAAAUAAUAACAUUUGCAUUAUUAAAUUCGUUGUAUUGUAUGUUUGAACAAAUAAAAAUUUUGUGUACUGUAUUAACAAUGAUGAUUUGAUUUAAUUUUUAAUGCCAUUUUGAUCGAAUUUAAAAAUCGAUUUUGAUCGAUUUUUGAAAAGAUUUUGAUCUCAUUUCUUUUUUAAAAAUCGAUUUUUGAUCAUUUUCUAAAACGAUUUGUCCAUAAUAAAAAAAGCAAUUUUGAUGGAAAUUUAAAACGAUAAGUGCAAUUAUAUUGUAGUCAAUACACUACUGUGUUAAAACAAUACCGUAAUUGUAAAAUUUGUAAAUUUCUGAAAUUUAUUUCAUUAUUGAAAAACCUGUGUAACCUUUAAAUAAAUUAUUUUGAAGUAUUGAGCAUUGGUCCAGUACUGCAAUAUAUACAUCAAUAGUUAAUUGUAAGAUGUUCAUACACAAAAAUCAUGUAAUCAAUUUUGGUAAAAUAUAUGCCUAUAAUGGUUAUUUUAAGAUAAGUUUUUUAUGUAAAUAAAUUUGCAAUUUAUUAUUGAAUAUACCCUUACAUUUAUCUUAUUUAUAUGUAUAUGCAUCCGACAUAUUUUUUCAAUGGUAAAUUCUUUGAAAAAAAUGUUGUUGUCCGUAUAAAUACAGAAAUUAGUAAAACUAGACAGUUUAAAGUGGAAUGGUCUACAAUGAGCGUAUUUUCCUGAAGUAUUUCAAAUAGGUUUACAUUUUUUCAUUUAUAAAAACUACAGAAAUGUUUCAGUGAUAUUCUUAUAAAGUAUUUCUUGACAAAAAUAUUGAUUAAUUUUUUAGUGAUUGAGUAUGAACAUUUAUUUAUAUGAUUUAUUGUAAAUUUUGUUAUAGAACAAUUUAUUGGCUGCUAUAUUUAGAAAUGUCAUAUCAGACCAUAUAUCAUACUUACCAACAACAUCCAUGUAUAAUAGACCUUUUCCCAAUAAGCCUAACUGGCUUUCAGGUAAAAGUCACGUGGCUCCAAAAUAUUUAAUUAAGUUUUUUAAUUAUAAUUUGUAUCACUUUUGUUUUAAGCAAUAUUUUCAAGGUUUUGUCGUGUGUUUUGUUUUUGUUGUUGUUUUUUUUUUCGUUUCUUUUCUUCUUUUUUUAAUGAUAAUGUGCUAUAUUUAUAUUUUGUACUUUGAUUUAUGUUAAAUCAUUUGGCAACCUCCGAAAGAACGGCCACCCGCUGUAGUCGCCCGUGUAAAAAGGUGUGACGUCACAAGAAUGUGACGUCAAACAGAAUUACAAUAAAUGUGCACUGUCACGAUAAAAUAGCACCAACAUUAUUCAGAAUAAGGUUACUGUUGUAACUAUGCAUAUUUAUAUCUUAGAUUCAACGUCUUGAAGCGUUUUGGGCUGGGUUUUUUUUCUCAUUUAAACAAGCUAAAGCUUAAGGCGAUUGGUUAGCAAGAAUUUUACGGCAUUACAGUUGUGUUCUAAGUGAAAUAUAUCUUCGAAGCUCUUUAAAUUCGCAAGUCUUUUUUUUCUAGAUAUUUUACACUUGGCAUCCUUAGAAAGCUGCAUGAAUAUUAUGUUUUUAUAAGACAAAAAAUGCAAAUUAGGGACCAAAGACCUAUAUUUAAGCAUGUAAGCGAGCAUCCAUAUUGGAGAUAUUCCCUCUCAAAUAAUGACGUCAUACGGGAAAACACCCUCGAGCACGUGAUAAAAAUGUACUAAAAAUAGGUAUCCAAUUUGUUUAGAACACAGCUGUUGGUGUCAAAUUCAGCGAUUAUUGUACUCUACAUAAAUAUAAUCAAGUAUAUAUUCUAUAAAACAUAAAAUAGUCAUUUCAGAGCUUUUCUGACAAUCAAAUUUCUUUCAUUACGAAGUAGAAACUACUAGUUACAGAUAAUUUUUACGUAAAAAAGACGAUUGUUUAGGUACAGAUUUAUUUACCAAAAUUGAUAAAAAAGAGCUGAAAACAAUGUUUCAAUACAUUUAUAAGCAAUAUUAUAAUCUAUAUAAAAUGGUAUAAUCUUAUUUCUAAAGUAUAUGGCAUAGUUUGAGACAACAUUAAACGUUCUUUAGUUUGGCAAUAGUGAUACAACUUUGUUAGCGCUCUUUCUCUUGGUUUGAUAAUACAUCACAUUACCAAGGCAACAUACCCUAUAACCAAAGUUCCACCUUUUUCAGCGGGAUGCCAAAAAUGACCAAUUCACUUUAAAUCAUUUGUAGAACAAUUCAGUAAAUAACAAAUAAAAAACUAUCACUUUUAUACCUUUAUUAAGAAAGAAAAAGCUCGUUGUCACGUAGCGGCAUGCACCAUGGACAUGAAUUUGGCGUUUUGCUCCUUUUUUCGCAAGAGACGUGAAUUUGACUUCUUUGUCGUCUGCGCGCGGUAGCUUUAUUCUUUCUCAAAUGUUGCCUUUUAAAUAUAUUGUAAAUAUAGACUGAGAGUUAUCAUUCUGUUUAAACGUAUUGCCGUGACAUUGAUAUUAUUGCAGAAUGUCAGCAUCUCUUUUUGUCAGUUUAACAGCAAUGUUGGGGCGUCCACGACCGAGUGGUUCGGGUCAUUGACUUCAAAACCACUUGCCCCUCACCGCUGUGGGUUCGAAUUCCGACAAGGACUUUGGAUUCUUUCAUGUGAUAAAGAUAUCCAGCUAGUUUACGGAAGGUCGGUGGUUUUCACUAAGUCUGAAAUAAUGCACGGAAGGGCACAUGAGGUCUUCCUCCACCAGUAAAUCUGCAACGUCGCCUACGUAAAAUCCAACCAACCAAACAAACAAAAACAGCAAUGUUAGGUGAUGCAAUAUAAAAAGUAACUGAUUUUUUGUGUAUAUAAUUUGAAACUGUUUAGUAGCCAUACAUGACAUCAUUACAGUUGAAAUUUUGUUUUACAUUAAUUUUAAAUUCAUUGUUUAAACAACAAUUCUGUUUGGACAAAUUUGUUUUGACAUUGAUUUAAUUAAUGUGUAUAAAAUUAUAUAAUUGCUGACUGUAGUACACAAAAUCAUUGUUUGAAAUGUGAAAAAAAAUACCUAAAAGAAAUAGAAAUAUGUUUGUAUAUUUCUGUAUAAUUAAACGAUAAUAACUAAACUUAUAGAAGCAUGGCAUUUUGUCCAUUCUGUUUAUUUUCAAUAUUUAUGUGUGUUAAAAAGCAAUGACAUUCCAUUUUAUAACUCUGUCAAGAAUAUUCCACAAAAAUAUGGAAAUUGUUAUGGUUAUAAAUAUUAUGAAAAAAAAAUGUUUCAUAAGAAAUAGCUCUGCAGUCUUUAAUUCUAUUUGUUUGGUCUUUUCCCCAUUGUUUUAAAUGCAUUCUUCACAUAAAUUGAUGAUGGCCAGGAAUGAAAUUAAAAUCAUGUAUUUAAGAACAUCUUUUUUUACAACGUAACUAUGUUUUAACUAAAUAAUGAACUUGAAAUUUUGACAAUAAAAAUCAUAAAAGUAU